UUUCUUAUGCUUUUCUUCAUAUGCUUGUAAGGAUCCCAUUAAUUGAUCAAUCGACAUCUCCUCCAAAUUUUUAGUUUCUUCAAUUGUUAUGACAGUAAUGCUCGAAUUUGGAAGUUAGUGACGGAGUAUCUUCUCAAUAAUUCUAACAUCUUCCAAUUUUUCACCAUUUCUUUUCAUUUGAUUUUAAACCACCAAAACUCUUGAAAAAUAGUCGGAAAUGGACUCCCCUUCUUUCAUAUGUAAAGACUNNNN
rnacentral:lncRNA from 1 species